rnacentral:rRNA from 1 species
AGGAUGAACGCUGGCGGCGUGUCUAACACAUGCAAGUCGAACGUCCUGUCUCGCAAGAGGCAGGGAGUGGCGGACGGGUGAGUACCACGUGGGUCAUCUACCGUGAGGUGAGGAAUACCGGCGAGAAAUCGCCGACAAGACCGCAUAGCCUCGGUGCAAGCCGAGGAAAGCUCUUUCGAGAGAGGGAGCGCCACACGAGGAGCCUGCGCCCGAUUAGCUAGCUGGUGGAGUAACGGUUCACCAGGGCGACGAUCGGUAGCUGGUCUGAGAGGACGAUCAGCCACACUGGGAUUGAGAACGGCCCAGACUCCUACGGGGGGCAGCAGUGAGGAAUUUUCGUCAAGUGGGGCAACCCUGAACGAGCAACGCCGCGUGCAGGAAGAAGGUUUUCGGAUCGUAAACUGCUUUUCGUCGGGGAAGAGAACGGACGGUACCCGAGGAAUCGACGCCCCGGCUAACUACGUGCCAGCAGCCGCGGUAA